rnacentral:rRNA from 1 species
GACGAAGGAUGCAAGCGUUAUCCGGAUUCAUUGGGUUUAAAGGGAGCGUAGGUGGCCUUAUAAGUCAGCGGUGAAAUCUCUGGGCUUAACCCAGAAAUUGCCAUUGAUACUGUAGGGCUUGAGUACAGUUGCUGUGGGCGGAAUAUGACAUGUAGUGGUGAAAUACAUAGAGAUGUCAUAGAACACCGAUUGCGAAGGCAGCUCACAAAACUGUAACUGACACUGAGGCUCGAAAAGUGCGGGGGAUCAAACAGG